GCAGCAGCCGCGGUAAUACGAAGGGUGCAAGCGUUAAUCGGAAUUACUGGGCGUAAAGCGUGCGUAGGCGGUUUGUUAAGUCUGUUGUGAAAUCCCCGGGCUCAACCUGGGAAUGGCAAUGGAUACUGGCAAGCUAGAGUGUGUCAGAGGAUGGUGGAAUUCCCGGUGUAGCGGUGAAAUGCGUAGAGAUCGGGAGGAACAUCAGUGGCGAAGGCAGCCCCCUGGGCCAAUACUGACGCUCAUGCACGAAAGCGUGGGGAGCAAACAGGAUUAGAUACCCCAGUAGUCCCUGUCUCUUAUAC
rnacentral:rRNA from 1 species